rnacentral:tRNA from 1 species
GGAGAGUUAAGUUAUUGAAAAUAUUACCGAUAAAAUCGGUCUCGAAAACCGGAGUAGGGGCAACUCUACCGGGGGUUCAAAUCCCCCUCUCUCCGCCA